AGUGAACGCUGGCGGUAGGCCUAACACAUGCAAGUCGAACGGCAGCACAGUAAGAGCUUGCUCUUACGGGUGGCGAGUGGCGGACGGGUGAGGAAUACAUCGGAAUCUACUUUUUCGUGGGGGAUAACGUAGGGAAACUUACGCUAAUACCGCAUACGACCUACGGGUGAAAGCAGGGGAUCUUCGGACCUUGCGCGAUUGAAUGAGCCGAUGUCGGAUUAGCUAGUUGGCGGGGUAAGGCCCACCAAGGCCACGAUCCGUAGCUGGUCUGAGAGGAUGAUCAGCCACACUGGAACUGAGACACGGUCCAGACUCCUACGGGAGGCAGCAGUGGGGAAUAUUGGACAAUGGGCGCAAGCCUGAUCCAGCCAUACCGCGUGGGUGAAGAAGGCCUUCGGGUUGUAAAGCCCUUUUGUUGGGAAAGAAAAGCAGCAGGUUAAUACCCCGCUGUUCUGACGGUACCCAAAGAAUAAGCACCGGCUAACUUCGUG
rnacentral:rRNA from 1 species